GACGAACGCUGGCGGCGUGCUUAACACUUGCAAGUCGAACGGAAAGGCCCUGCUUUUGUGGGGUGCUCGAGUGGCGAACGGGUGAGUAACACGUGAGUAACCUGCCCUUGACUUUGGGAUAACUUCAGGAAACUGGGGCUAAUACCGGAUAGGAGCUCCUGCUGCAUGGUGGGGGUUGGAAAGUUUCGGCGGUUGGGGAUGGACUCGCGGCUUAUCAGCUUGUUGGUGGGGUAGUGGCUUACCAAGGCUUUGACGGGUAGCCGGCCUGAGAGGGUGACCGGCCACAUUGGGACUGAGAUACGGCCCAGACUCCUACGGGGGGCAGCAGUGGGGAAUAUUGCACAAUGGGCGGAAGCCUGAUGCAGCAACGCCGCGUGCGGGAUGACGGCCUUCGGGUUGUAAACCGCUUUCGCCUGUGACGAAGCGUGAGUGACGGUAAUGGGUAAAGAAGCACCGGCUAACUACGUG
rnacentral:rRNA from 1 species